CCUCACAUUCUUUCUUUGGCGGCAAUCAGGCCCUUCCUGUUCUCGACCUGAACACUAAUUGCUUGAUUAUUCAUGGCGAAAAUCUGCACUGUUUGGUUUUCAACAAUGUGUAGUCGGGUCGGAGUUCUAUGACGAAUAAAAUCCGGUUUCGUGGGCUGACCUUCAAUGCCUUUUGCAACAUUUCAGAGCAGACAGGUCGAUUCUUAAACCCUAGCUUCCUCCCCUAAUUCUGGAUCUGGUUUUGAAAGCAUUUUGGUUUUCAACAAUGGUUAACGCCCUCUUCAGAAAUUUGUUUUCUUUGGUACAAAAGGGGUUUGUUUCGAGGUCUACAACAUUCUUCUUUUCUUCUUCUUCUUCGUCUUCCUCUUCUCCUUCACAUUCUUUCACAGUAAACUACCUAAUGAACUCAUGUGGUCUUCCAUUAAAUUCUGCAAUCUCAACCUCCAAUAAGAUCAAACUUGACAAAAAGAACUCCUGGAUGCCCGAUUCUGUGCUUCAUCUAUUAAAAUCUCAUGGUUUCAGCAAGAUCCAGAUUGUCAAAUUGAUCAACACUCACCCAGCGUUACUUCUCCGUAAAGUGGAAGGUAAUCUCAAGCCCAAAUUUGACUUUCUCAUCAAAAAUGGCUUCUGUGGUGCAAUUUUGCGGGAGCUGAUUGUUCGGAAUCCGGUAACUUUGUCUCGAGCACUUGAUUCUCAUAUCAAACCAUUUUUUGAAUUGCUAAAGGGAGUUGUUGAAACUGAAGAGAAAGUUAUUGCUGCUCUUAGGCGUUCAUCAUGGUUGAUAAGUGAUUGGAAGCGAAUUAUGAAGCCAAAUAUUGAAUAUUUGAUAAGUGAGGGGGUGCCCAUUAGUAAUGUAAGUCAGAUUAUAGUAAUGCAUCCAAGAACUAUACAGCAUAAGUAUGGUAAGAUGAUUUAUGCUGUGGAGUAUAUCAAAAAAUUGGGCCAUGAACCAAACACUCCCAUUUUUAUUUUUGCUCUUAAAGUGUUCCUAUCGAUGAGUGAAUCAACUUGGAAAAGGAAAUUUGAGGUUCUGAAGAGUUUGGGUUGGAGUGAGGAGCAGAUAGUUUCAGCUUUCCAGCGACAACCAUUCUUUUUGGCUUGUUCAGAGGAGAAACUCAAACGUGCAACGGAUUUUUUUUUGAAUACUGUGAAGUUGGACUUGGACGUAUUAAUUGCAUACCCUAAGUUUAUGAUGUUUGGCAUUGAUCAAAGACUUCUUCCUAGGUAUAAAGUUCUGAAGGUACUGGAGUCGAAGAAUUUGCUUAAGGAUAAAGGGAAGAAUGUAUGGAAGCUAACACUAACCGAGAAGGUUUUCCAGAAAAGAUAUGUACUAAAGCACGUGGAUGAAGUCCCAGAAUUACUCCAAAUAUACGAUUGUACAGUAAAGAACAAAAGCAUGGUCACUUGACAUCGCGACUCAGCGAAGACUGUAAUGCGAUCUGUUAUCGUGUACUGGAUGACCUACUUGGAUGCUGGCUUGGGUCAGAAAUGCACCACUGGGUAUGGACUGUCAAAGUUUUUUUCCCCCUUGCAAAUCCGGAUAAAUAUGGAAAGCAAGGGAACAUAGUGUUAUGCGAUAUAGAUACUUGUUUUGAGCUGCGGAAAAACAUCUUUGUUGAAAGGCUGUUCUUCCCUCUGAAUUCUGAAGACUGUUCUUGAUAUGUAAACAGAGGAGUCCUAUUCAGAUUCUCCAAUGGACGACAUUAUCGUUAAAAUGACCUACGUUAGUAUUUGCCUGCAAGAACUCUGAGGCAUUUCAACCUUCAAUUUGCACAGUAUCCCAAAGUCUUGUAGGAAAACUAUGCAACUGUAAGUUCACCAAUCCUACUGGAUCAUAUAUAGUACCGUAUGAAACGCAUCAAAUCUAACCCAAUCCAACACUAUGGAAGAUUUGUUCCAGUCAAGAAUAUCACUGAAUGCCUAUGACCCCCCAUUGACUUUGCCACUAACCCAAUUCAACACCAAGUACAAAACACUGCAACAGUACCUUUAGCUUAGGGAAACAGAUUGGCCCAACCCAAUUAACACCGUCCAAUAGGAUUACUUGGGUAGGGUUGGUGGGCCUUGAAGAGGUUGAAAAUCCGUGUUCUUGGGCUGCUUUAGAUCCGAACCACAUUUCUUCGGAUUCGGAUUCGGAUUCGGAAUGUGCAAGUGCCAGUGACACACAUCAGAGACUUCGACCGCCAAUGUUGUUCAACUUUUCAUAGCAGCUAAACCCUAGCUCUCUCUUCUAAUUCUCUGAUCACGUUUUGAGAGCAGUUUGGUUUUCAACAAUGGAUAUUAUCGGCUUCAGAAAAUUUUUCUCUUCGAUACAAAGGCAUUUUCUUUCAACAUCUGCAGCAUUCUGUUCUUUUUCCUCUGUUUCACGGCCUUUCACAGUCGAGUACCUCAUGAACUCUUGUGGGCUUCCAUUAAAAUCAGCCAUCUCAGCUUCCAAUAAGAUCCUCCUAGUUGAAAACAACCUCAAGAAACCCAAUUCUGUCCUUGAUUUAUUGAAGUCUCAUGGUUUCAGCAGGAACCAGGUGGCCAAAUUGAUCGAAAAGCGCCCAUCGUUACUUCUCUCUAAGGUAGAAGGUAAUCUCAAGCCCAAAAUCGUCUUCCUCGUCGGAAAUGGAUUCAAGGGUACUUUGUUGCCAGAGCUGAUUGUUGGGAGUCCGGCAAUUUUGUUAAGAGCACUGGAUUCUCAUAUUAAACCAUCCAUUGAAUUCCUGAAGGGAGUUCUUGAAAAUGAAGUGAAAUUUAUUACUGCUAUUCAGCGGUCGUCGUGGUUGAUAUCUUCUGGUUGGAAGGGAACAUUGAAGCCGAAUAUAGAAUAUUUGAUCAGCGAGGGAACGCCCAUUAGUAGUAUAAGUAAAAUUAUUCAGUUGCAGCCAAGAGCUAUGCUGCAAAAGCCUGCUAGGAUGAUUUAUGCUGUGGAAUAUGUAAAAAAAUUGGGCAUUGAACCAAGCAUUCCCGUGUUUGUUAAUGCUCUUAGGGUGAUGUUAUCUAUGAGUGAAACAACUUGGCAAAAGAAAUUUGAGGUGCUGAAGAGUCUGGGUUGGAGUGAAGAGCAGAUUGUUUCAGCUUUCCAGCGAGAACCAGCCCUUUUGUCUUGUUCAGAGGAGAAACUCAGACGUGCAACGGAUUUUUAUUUGAAUACUAUGAAGUUGGACUUGGACAUAUUAAUUGGAUACCCUAAGUUUCUGAUGUUUGCCAUUGAUCAAAGACUUCUUCCUAGGUAUAAAGUUCUGAAGGUACUGAUGUCCAAGAAUUUGUAUAAGGAUAAAGGGAAGAUUGUAUGGAAGUUAACACUAAGUGAGAAGGUUUUCCAGGAAAGAUAUAUUCUAAAGCAUGUGGAUGAAGUCCCAGAAUUACUACAAAUAUAUGAUUGUGCAGGAAAGAACAAAAGUGUGGUCACUUGAUAUCGUGAGUCGGCGAAGACUGUAAUGCGAUCUGGUAUGGUGUACUGGAUGAACUACUUUGGAUGCUGGCUCGGUCAGAAAUGCACCACUGGUAAACAAACUUAUGGAGGUCCGACAAGAUUGGACCUAAGCUUCUCGACCACUCUAACUUCAAAAAUUUAAUCACCGCACCUUCCCCCGAGAGUUUUAGAAUAAGAAAUCUAGGGAAAUCAAAACUGUGUAAUGUUGAAUUUUUCUUGACUAUACUUUCCCUUGCUAGGUGCUGCUGACAACAUCAGCAUUGGCAAUUUUAACUGGGGAGGUUUCCAUUGAUUGUUUGUUGACUGUUACCAUAGGGGUUAGUGAGCUAAUCUGUUGGGGGUAAUGUUGAUGAGGAAAUUUGAGAAGGGAAUUUUUAUGGAAGGAAAAUUGACAAUAGCCUAUUUUGUUCCUUGACAUGAGCCCAACCCUCUACUUAAUCCAGAAAUCAUCAUCCUUGCACUUCAAUCCCAUCAUGCCCACCCAGCAAGCUCUCUAUUUCACAGCUUAUCCUGACUUCACCUCCUUCAUUUGCAAAGGAGUCCUAUUCAGAUUCUCAGGUGGACAUUAUUUUAAACGACAUUCUUUAGUAUUUGCCUGCAAUAACUCUCAGGCAUUUCAAACUUGAAUUUGCACAGUAACUCAGAGUCCUUUAUGAAUAUGCAUUACUGUAAGUUCACCAAUCCACUGGAUCAUAUGAUACUUCUGGUGUGGCUUUAAGAACUGUCUUUAGAUUGUAAAGUGUAAACAUCCUUCUUGUUAAGAAUC